rnacentral:rRNA from 1 species
GGGUUGUGAGGUUAAGCGACUAAGCGUACACGGUGGAUGCCCUGGCAGUCAGAGGCGAUGAAGGGCGUGCUAAUCUGCGAUAAGCGCCGGUAAGGUGAUAUGAACCGUUAUAACCGGCGAUACCCGAAUGGGGAAACCCAGUGUGANUCGUCACACUAUCAUUAACUGAAUCCAUAGGUUAAUGAGGCGAACCGGGGGAACUGAAACAUCUAAGUACCCCGAGGAAAAGAAAUCAACCGAGAUUCCCCCAGUAGCGGCGAGCGAACGGGGAGGAGCCCAGAGCCUGAAUCAGCAUGUGUGUUAGUGGAAGCGUCUGGAAAGGCGCGCGAUACAGGGUGACAGCCCCGUACACAAAAGCGCAUGUGCUGUGAGCUCGAUGAGUAGGGCGGGACACGUGGUAUCCUGUCUGAAUAUGGGGGGACCAUCCUCCAAGGCUAAAUACUCCUGACUGACCGAUAGUGAACCAGUACCGUGAGGGAAAGGCGAAAAGAACCCCGGCGAGGGGAGUGAAAAAGAACCUGAAACCGUGUACGUACAAGCAGUGGGAGCACAGGUUUACCUGUGUGACUGCGUACCUUUUGUAUAAUGGGUCAGCGACUUAUAUUCUGUAGCAAGGUUAACCGAAUAGGGGAGCCGGAGGGAAACCGAGUCUUAAUUGGGCGUUAAGUUGCAGGGUAUAGACCCGAAACCCGGUGAUCUAGCCAUG